rnacentral:rRNA from 1 species
UACCACAGCCAUAUCACCCUGUAGCCCAAGAUCGGUUACUCACUAAAGCACUAAGCAGGACUGAGCCUGGUCAGUACCUGCAUGGCCACAUGGGAACACUAGGUUGCUGUUGGAA